rnacentral:snRNA from 1 species
AUAGCUUCUUGGCCUUUUGGCUAAGAUCAAGUGUAGAAUUGGCACUAAAUAUUAAUAUUUCCUGAACAUAU